CAUCACUACGCUAGAUGCAUAUCAAUAAGCGGAGGAAAAGAAACUAACAAGGAUUCCCUUAGUAACGGCGAGUGAAGCGGGAAGAGCUCAAAUUUGAAAUCUUCAAGGUUUACCUUGACGAAUUGUAGUUUAUAGAAGUGUUUUCUGUUGAAGUUUUGGUAAAAGUUCUUUGGAAUAGGACAUCAUAGAGGGUGAGAAUCCCGUAUUUGACCGUUACUUUCCAGCUGUGUGAUACACUUUCAAAGAGUCGGAUUGUUUGGGAAUGCAGUCCAAGAUGGGUGGUAAAUUUCAUCUAAAGCUAAAUAUUGGCGAGAGACCGAUAGCGAACAAGUACCGUGAGGGAAAGAUGAAAAGAACUUUGAAAAGAGAGUUAAACAGUACGUGAAAUUGUCAAAAGGGAAGCGUUUGACACCAGUGUUGUUUUUCCGAAAAUCAAUUACGAAUGUUUUAUUUUUGAGAAGUUAUGACUUCAUCGGCUUGCUUCUCUCUUUAUGAAACUUUCUUAAUGCACUUUUCGGUUAACAAGUCAACAUCAAUUUCUUUUGUUGUAAAAGGGUAUGAGGAAGGUGGCUUUCUUUUCGGAGAAAGUGUUUAUAGCCUUGUACCUCUGCAAUCGGAGAGAUUGAGGUCUGCAGCGUAGAUCCUUCGGGGUUAGAUACAUUUGUGCUAAGUUAUAGCUUUUCAUAGACAACUUGUUGACUAUGUUUAGUCUUGUAGCUUACUCGCAUGCGCUAUUUUACCUACGCUUAGGAUGUUGACACACGCGCGUGCUCG
rnacentral:rRNA from 1 species